rnacentral:rRNA from 1 species
UUUAUUGGAGAGUUUGAUCCUGGCUCAGGAUGAACGCUGGCGGCGUGCCUAAUACAUGCAAGUCGAGCGAAUGGAUUGAGAGCUUGCUCUCAAGAAGUUAGCGGCGGACGGGUGAGUAACACGUGGGUAACCUGCCCAUAAGACUGGGAUAACUCCGGGAAACCGGGGCUAAUACCGGAUAAUAUUUUGAACUGCAUGGUUCGAAAUUGAAAGGCGGCUUCGGCUGUCACUUAUGGAUGGACCCGCGUCGCAUUAGCUAGUUGGUGAGGUAACGGCUCACCAAGGCAACGAUGCGUAGCCGACCUGAGAGGGUGAUCGGCCACACUGGGACUGAGACACGGCCCAGACUCCUACG